GACGAACGCUGGCGGCGUGCUUAACACAUGCAAGUCGAACGGAAAGGCCCUGCUUUUGUUGGGUUCUCGUUUGGCGAACGGGUGUGUAACACGUGUGUAUCCUGCCCUUGUCUUUGUUAUAUCUUCAGGAAACUGGGGCUAAUACCUGAUAGGAUCUCCUGCUGCAUGGUGGUGGUUGGUACGUUUCGGCGGUUGGGGAUGGACUCGCUGCUUAUCAGCUUGUUGGUGGGGUAGUGGCUUACCAAGGCUUUGACGGGUAGCCGGCCUGAGAGGGUGACCGGCGACAAUGGGACUGAGAGACGGACCAGAAGGGAACGGGAGGCAGCAGGGGGGAAUAUUGCAAAAUGGGAGGAAGCGUGAUGAAGAAACGCAGCGAGCGGGAAGAAGGCCUACGGGUUGAAAACAGAAGUAGAAUGAGACGAAGAGUGAGUGACGGUAAUGGGUAAAGAAGCACCGGCUAACUACGUG
rnacentral:rRNA from 1 species